AUACUUACCUUGGGCGCGGGGGGAUACCGUGAUCAAGAAGGCGGUGCCUCCAGACGAGGCCUGUACAUUGCACUCCGUAUGGGCUGACUCCUGCGACUACCCCAAUCGGGGUGGCUCGAGCGCAUAAUUUUUGGUGAGUGGGGACAAGCGUUCCGCUGUCCCUUU
rnacentral:snRNA from 1 species